rnacentral:rRNA from 1 species
GAUGAACGCUGGCGGCGUGCCUAACACAUGCAAGUCGAACGGAAAGGCCCUGAUUUUGUGGGGUGCUCGAGUGGCGAACGGGUGAGUAACACGUGAGUAACCUGCCCUUGUCUUUGGGAUAACUUCAGGAAACUGGGGCUAAUAUCGGAUAGGAGCUCCUGCAGCAUGGUGGGCGUUGGAAAGUUUCGGCGGUUGGGGAUGGACUCGCGGCUUAUCAGCUUGUUGGUGGGGUAGUGGCUUACCAAGGCUUUGACGGGUAGCCGGCCUGAGAGGGUGAACGGCGACAAUGGGACUAAGAUACGGCCCAGACGCCUACGUUAGGCAGCAGUGGGGAAUAUUGCACAGUGAGCGGGAGCCUGAUACAGCGGCGCCGCGUGCGUGAUGACGGCCUUCGGGGUGUGAACCGCUUUCGCCUGAGACGAAGCGGUAGUGACGGUAAUGGAUAAAGAAGCACCGGCUAACUACGUG